GACUGGUAGUGAGAAAUAUUGAGAUCUCCAUCUCAAUAUCACUGAAACUCCUUUCAGUGGACUGAAACGAUUUCAGUUCUACUCUUAGGGUUCACUGAUCACCAAGUGAAUGCUUUCGAGUCUCACAAUCCACUAGUGACACCUAGCAGUAUAUGGUGGCAAUCCAGCAGAAUGGAAUAUCUGAACCUCUUGGUGCAGUUAGCGUAUGAUACAGUCCCUCUAUCAUGGAUUCC
rnacentral:lncRNA from 1 species